CUCCACGCACAAAGCCGACAUUCAACUUUGCUAACUUAGUCGGCUCCCGCCCAGCCGGCCCCCGCAGCACCGUCACGGUGAAAACAUGUUGAUGCCAGGAACUCAGUUUCCAAGGCGGUGCAAGGGUUCGAAAGCACAAAGGCAGACACACGGCCGACCCGCGCGCUAGCUAGCAAGUUGCGGUACUCCGGGGCGGCGGCGCGGAGCCGGCGUCCAGAUAACACUUUGGAAUCCAUUGAGGCUGGGCAUGAUGUGAAGAGUUGAACAUCAACAUUUCAGCUAGUUGAAAUCUAGUUGAUUCAUCUAGUCCCAGUGCAUCGUUUCAAAACCAUAAGCCCCAGGUCCAUAAACCCAAACUGCACCUGCUUCUUGUCCUGGAAUGUUUUUAUGUAAAUCUCCGGAGUUUGAUGAGGAUGUUUGGUUGUGCAGGGUGCAGGGAUGGGAAUCCAGACAAGAUUACACUGAGCUGGACUGUGUGGGAUGGGUUGUGGCAGCCACAGGAUAGGUGCUGAAAGAUGAUGAGGGGACGAAUUAGUGAAGCUCCGUGACCAAGCUACAUGCCUCCUGGAACAUCUGAGAGAGGAGUGUGGUAUGGUGAAAAGACCAUCAGUUUAAUGGUCAAAGUUGGUUCUGUCAUCUACUAGCUGUGUAACCUUGGGCUUCCCAGGAGGCUCAGUGAAUCCGCUUGCCAAGCAAGAGAUAUGGGUUUGAUCCCUGGGUCGAAAAGAUCCCCUGGAGAAGGAAAUGGCAACCCACGCCAAUAUUCUUGCCUGGGAAAUCCCUUGGACAGAGGAGCCUGCCAAGUUACAGUCUGGGGUUGAAAAGAGUCGGACAUGUAUUAGCGACUAAACAAUAGCAACCUUGGUCAAAUGAACUUGUGUACAUCAGUUUGCUUAUGUAUAAAAUGAGAGUAAUUAAUACUUACCUUGUGGUUGUGUUAGAUGGAUAAAAGAUGACAUAAAUAAAGUUCCUGGUAUGUACGACACAUGCAAAAAAAUGUUCAUAUGCAUGUACAUAUGAUGUAUGUGUGUGCAUGGUAUAUUUGUAUGUAGGGGGUGGGGUGAGUGUGUGUGUGUGUAUGUGUGUGUGUGUUGGAUUCCAAAGGAAAAGUCGAGGUUUUCUAUUAUAAAGUGUUGCUUUUUUUUUUUUUUAAAGAUAACAGGUGAUGCUCUCUAUAU